rnacentral:rRNA from 1 species
CGUCGACGGGUAGCCGGCCUGAGAGGGUGACCGGCCACACUGGGACUGAGACACGGCCCAGACUCCUACGGGAGGCAGCAGUGGGGAAUAUUGCACAAUGGGCGAAAGCCUGAUGCAGCAACGCCGCGUGAGGGAUGACGGCCUUCGGGUUGUAAACCUCUUUUAGCAGGGAAGAAGCGAAAGUGACGGUACCUGCAGAAAAAGCGCCGGCUAACUACGUGCCAGCAGCCGCGGUAAUACGUAGGGCGCAAGCGUUAUCCGGAAUUAUUGGGCGUAAAGAGCUCGUAGGCGGUUUGUCGCGUCUGCUGUGAAAUCCCGAGGCUCAACCUCGGGCCUGCAGUGGGUACGGGCAGACUAGAGUGCGGUAGGGGAGAUUGGAAUUCCUGGUGUAGCGGUGGAAUGCGCAGAUAUCAGGAGGAACACCGAUGGCGAAGGCAGAUCUCUGGGCCGUAACUGACGCUGAGGAGCGAAAGGGUGGGGAGCAAACAGGCUUAGAUACCCUGGUAGUCCACCCCGUAAACGUUGGGAACUAGUUGUGGGGUCCAUUCCACGGAUUCCGUGACGCAGCUAACGCAUUAAGUUCCCCGCCUGGGGAGUACGGCCGCAAGGCUAAAACUCAAAGGAAUUGACGGGGACCCGCACAAGCGGCGGAGCAUGCGGAUUAAUUCGAUGCAACGCGAAGAACCUUACCAAGGCUUGA